GUGAAUCAUCAAAUUUUUGAACGCAAAUUGCACCCUCCUCGGAGAGUAUGCCUGUUUGAGGGUCAGCCUAUAAAAAUCGACAUCGUUGCUGUUUCGCGGUGCCGUUCGCGGGAAAUUGGGUCAUCUUAAAUCCUUUGGUUUAAAGGGACUUAAAAUUUUCUUUUGUUUCCAUGAAGGUUUCUAGGAUCUAUUUCUUUACACGUUAAAGGUAUCGAUUUUUAUUAAACGUAACCACCAUUG
rnacentral:misc_RNA from 1 species